rnacentral:rRNA from 1 species
UACGGGGGGAGCAAGCGUUGUUCGGAAUUACUGGGCGUAAAGCGUGCGUAGACGGUUAUUUAAGUCGGAUGUGAAAGCCCCGGGCUCAACCUGGGAAUUGCAUUCGAGACUGAAUAGCUAGGGUGCGGUAGAGGGAAGCGGAAUUUCCGGUGUAGCGGUGAAAUGCGUAGAUAUCGGAAGGAACAUCAGUGGCGAAAGCGGCUUCCUGGACCAGCACCGACGUUCAGGCACGAAAGCGUGGGGAGCAAACAGG